rnacentral:rRNA from 1 species
UACGUAGGGUGCGAGCGUUAAUCGGAAUUACUGGGCGUAAAGCGUGCGCAGGCGGUUUUGUAAGCCAGAUGUGAAAUCCCCGGGCUUAACCUGGGAAUGGCAUUUGGGACUGCAAGGCUGGAGUGCGGCAGAGGAGACUGGAAUUCCUGGUGUAGCAGUGAAAUGCGUAGAUAUCAGGAGGAAUACCGAUGGCGAAGGCAGGUCUCUGGGCUGACACUGACGCUCAUGCACGAAAGCGUGGGGAGCAGACAGG